rnacentral:rRNA from 1 species
UACGUAGGGGGCUAGCGUUGUCCGGAAUCAUUGGGCGUAAAGCGCGCGUAGGCGGCCCGGUAAGUCCGCUGUAAAAGUCAAAGGCUCAACCUUUGAAUGUCAGUGGAUACUGCCGGGCUAGAGUCCGGAAGAGGCGAGUGGAACUCCUGGUGUAGCGGUGGAAUGCGCAGAUAUCGUAAGGAAGACCAGUGGCGAAGGCGGGUCUCUGGACAGUUCCUGACGCUGAGGCACGAAGGUCAGGGGAGCAAACGGG